UGCUGAAUAACUCCUAUCCCUCCCUCCUCGUGGUACUGCCCGGGGUACGAGUAACCUUAGGGAAGAUCUUGUAACCAACCCCUGUGGGAGCUUUGGUCGUAUGCUGACAGGGAAGG
rnacentral:ribozyme from 1 species